AACCGCUGUUCUCCUGAUCCCUGUCGGCCCAGGGGUUUUUGUAUUGACACAGUUGGAUCAUACCAUUGUCGUUGUGUUGAUCCUUACUAUGGAGAGCAUUGUCAAUUCACAAGAAAACCUUCUCACAAAGAUAUGUGGAUACUCGGCAGCAUAAAUAGUACAUCGGUAGAAUAUCUCUUCCCCCAAGGAGUGACUCGCAGCUGGCAGGGAGCUCAGGACUAUUGUACGUCUCUCGGUAGACUGUCAAGCCUGGCGUUUCAAUCAAGCGAUGCGGAUCAUAGCUUGCUCAUCCAGAAAUACUCUAUGCCCAAAGAGUACGAGUACUGGGCAAGAGAUCACAAUGCUGAUGUCUGUGCAGUGUACCGUGCUGGUGGAUUUCAAUUCAGUCUCCUCCACUACCAAUGUAGUAUUGCUCUACCAUUCCUUUGUGUUCGUCCGAAAGAGUAUGAUGAAUGUAGCCAUGGUGAUUACACAUGUCACCAUGGCGUUUGUGUUGACACGUACGAUUCCUAUACGUGUGAGUGUGAGACAAAAUACACGGGGGAGACGU